CGCGCCGUAGAGAAGUAGUCAUCUCGCCAUGCUCAUAACUUGGAAAUCGGUAGUGCAAAUCUAUCCGGCGCAA
rnacentral:tRNA from 1 species